rnacentral:misc_RNA from 1 species
GAUGAAGAACGUAGCGAAAUGCGAUAAGUAGUGUGAAUUGCAGAAUUCAGUGAAUCAUCGAAUCUUUGAACGCACAUUGCGCCCCUUGGUAUUCCAUGGGGCAUGCCUGUUCGAGCGUCAUUUGUACCCUCAAGCUAUGCUUGGUGUUGGGUGUUUGUCCACUCCUUUGCGAUUGGACUCGCCUUAAAGACAUUGGCAGCCAGUGUAUUGGUCUUGAAGCGCAGCACAUUUUGCGAUUCUUGCUGAUAAUCACUAGCGUCCAGUAAGCCUAUUUUAACACUUUUGACCUCGGAUCAGGUAGGGAUACCCGCUGAACUUAAGCAUAUCAAUAAGCGGAGGA